rnacentral:misc_RNA from 1 species
GAUGAAGAACGUAGCGAAAUGCGAUACGUAAUGUGAAUUGCAGAAUUCAGUGAAUCAUCGAAUCUUUGAACGCAUAUUGCGCUCUCUGGUAUUCCGGAGAGCAUGCUUGUUUGAGUAUCAGUAAACACCUCAACUUCCAUAUCUUUUUUGAAAUGGGAGUUGGACUUGAGUGAUCCCAACGCUUUUCCUCACCGAAAAGUGGCGGGUUACUUGAAAUGCAGGUGCAGCUGGACUUUUCUCUGAGCUAUAAGCAUAUCUAUUUAGUCUGCCUAAAAAACAGAUUAUUACCUUUGAUGCAGCUAACAUAAAGGAGAUUAGUUCUUGUGCUGACUGAUGCAGGAUUCACAAAGACGGCUUCGGCCGACUUUGUAAACUCGAUCUCAAAUCAAGUAAGACUACCCGCUGAACUUAAGCAUAUCAAUAAGCGGAGGA